UCUCUGCCAUUUCAACCUCACCGCUCCGAUGGCGACGAAACGAAGGGGUCUUCCAACGACACAAUGCCGGUAAGUUUCUUCUCUACUCCCUCUCCUUGUUUAGUUUUUAAAAGAAAAGAACCAAUAGAAAAAAAAAUGAAACCCGCAAGCAGUAAAAGAAAAAAACGGAAACGAAAAUCACCUUCAAAAUUAUUAUUUUUUGUUAUCUCUGUUCUGUAUUUUUUUGAAUCUCUGAUUGUGUAACCCCCCUUACAAAAAAAAUAUUUGGCUUUUUAUAGCCGAAAUAACAGAAAAAAAGAAAAUAUCAAAAAACUGUUCUCUGCCUUUUUUUACAUUUUUCCUUUGUAUUUUCUACUAUUCUCUCUGUUCGUGGUCAUGGCUUGUUGCAGGAAGAUCCUGGAAGGAUCGUGUACGACGUGGGAGUGAUGGGCAGUUGCUGCAACAUUCGCGGAGUUGCUGUGCGUAGAGUGAGGCUGCUGCGACAGAGGCGGCUACUAGGGUUUCUGUUUUUGGCUAAUUUGGGCUGGUACAGGGUUAUUGGUUGGGACUAAUUUGGGUUUAAUCUAGGCUAGGGUUAAAUGGGGUUUAGUAAUGGACUUCUAAUUUUAAAUUUGGAUCACUGAAGCUUUAGGCUAAUUGGGCCGUGUAAAGGAUUUUGGGCCCGGGGCAAUAAUUGGAUAUUCCAUAGAUCACAUAUUAUUGUUUCAAAAAGUACAAUAAAUAAUUAAAUGUACAGUUUGAAACAACAUAUGAAANNNNN
rnacentral:lncRNA from 1 species